UACGUAGGGCGCGAGCGUUGUCCGGAUUUAUUGGGCGUAAAGAGCUCGUAGGCGGUUCGAUAAGUCAGGUGUGAAAACUCUGGGCUCAACUCAGAGACGCCACUUGAUACUGUCGUGACUUGAGUCUGGUAGGGGAGUGUGGAAUUCCCGGUGUAGCGGUGAAAUGCGCAGAUAUCAGGAAGAACACCCGUGGCGAAGGCGGCUCUCUGGGACGGUACUGACGCUGAGACGCGAAAGCGUGGGGAGCGAACAGG
rnacentral:rRNA from 1 species